rnacentral:rRNA from 1 species
UACGUAGGGUGCGAGCGUUGUCCGGAAUUAUUGGGGCGUAAAAGAGCUCGUAGGCGGUCUGUUGCGUCGGUUGUGAAAACACGGGGCUCAACUCCGUGCCUGCAAUCGAUACGGGCAGACUAGAGUUCGGUAGGGGAGACUGGAAUUCUUGGUGUAGCGGUGAAAUGCGUAGAUAUCAAGAGGAACACCUGCGGCGAAGGCGGGUUGCUGGGCCGACACUGACGCUGAGGCGCGAAAGCGUGGGGAGCGAACCGG